AAAUAAUAUUGCGGAUCAGAAUGCUCUGAGCGCUUGUGUCGUUUACCAAGAAAAUGCAGCCCUGUCGGUUUUUAUAUCUGUAUCACAUCGCGACUAUUACAUAUUUACAAGCACAGUAUCAUCAACGGUGAUUGUAAGAACUACUGCAAUCCCUGCGGUUUUUCCUCUGUUAAAUGCGUUCUGUAGUGCGAUGCCCAUUUUUCUUAACGACCGAUAUUCGUUAUUGAUAAUGAACGGCGUUUUAGCUUGCAGUAGCGAAUAGGCUAUUCUCAAAAACACACUUAACGACAGAAUUCGUUAGACAUGUCGAUAAAGAAGAUUACAACGAUUGUCGUUAAUUAAAAAGCCAAAAUUGGUCUCAUGAAAAGAUCAUGUAUGUAAGUACCUAGGAAGAAGAUAUAAAACACUAGUGUAUAGGUCCAUAAUAGAACACACACUUCAUGUAUUGUCCAACGAUCUUUUUCAUGGCAAGCAAUACAAAAAUCGACAAGUUACAAAAAAUGCAAAACAGAGCAAUGCGAUUUAUACUGAAUAAGCGUCACGAUGCACCCACACGAGAGAUGCUCGCCGAUAUGAACUGGCUGAGUGUUAAGCAGCAAAUUUUUUGUCAUGCCAUGAAAUUCGUAUUCAAUAUAAAGAAUGGUCGGUUACCGGACUACCUGAGCGACAAUCUCAGAUAUAUAAAUGAAACUCAUUCAUACAUACUAAGGGAAAAUGAUAGCUUUAGAUUGCCGUUAUAUAGGACAGAAGUGGAUAAAAUGAACAUAUUCUACAAGGGAUUAAAGUAUUUUAACGAACUACCGCCACAAACAAGAAAUUGUGAAAGCAUUGCCAGCUUCCAGAGAUCAUAACUUGAUCACUGUCGAACACUACCUAUCAGAUAGAGGCUAGGCAUGGAAACAAAUCCUUUUCAUCCGGCAGAGUUGCUCUGGAUCCAAUCCACUCAGACAGCUUGCUGAAUCUGCAAAUCUUGACAGAGUCGAAACACCAAUCCCCGAAGCACCGUCCUCCUACCCUAUCAAACAGUGCUGCUCUGGAUCUAGUUCAUUCAGACAGCGUGUAUAACAUGGAAAUCCUCAUCAAACCGAACCAACAACAUGAGAAGUGAGGGUGCACAUUGGAAACUAGUCCUUUCCAACUGCCCAAACAACUGAAGCUACAAUAUGAGAAGUAAAGGUGCAGAUUGAAAACUAGUGCUUCCCAACUGCCCUAACAACUGAAUCUGCAAUGUGAGAAGAGAGGUGCAGAUUGGAAACUAGUCCUUUCCAACUGCCCUAACAACUGAAGCAAUAAUAUGAGAAGGGAAGGUGCAGAUUGAAAACUAGUGCUUUCCAACUGCCCUAACAAUUGUGGCAAUAAUAUGAGAAGGGAAGGUGCAGAUUGGAAACUAGUGCUUUCCAACUGCCCUAACAAUUGUGGCAAUAAUAUGAGAAGGGAAGGUGCAG